rnacentral:lncRNA from 1 species
GUGUUUUAUGCAGGAGAUUUUAUUUUAGCAUAUUCUGCUCUUCUAUUUUCAGAUUGAUCCAUGUGCACUUGUCAUCUCAGGGUCCAUGCAUUGCUGAGAUGCAGCUGAGUGCUUCAGCUCAGUUGUUCUCCACAUUUCUUCUUUAUACUCUCUGUGCAGAAACCGCUGUGUGCAGGGCAGGUGGUCUGUGCUGUGGUAGCCAUCCCUGCAGCCCCAUGUCCCAGUCUCAUGCAGACUUAUUUUUCUUGAGUUUAAAUUCUUGUCCUUUUGUUCUACAACCACAGGGACUUCCGCCCUGCCAAAAAUAACCCUUAAAUGCUGCAACAGUGAGGGCCCUUGCUGCUGCCUCCAGGUGAUCACUCACCCGUUGGUAAGUGCUGGGCUUCCUGCAGCUUUGCACAUACAGUAACGACAGUUUCCCUGGGCUGGUGUUGUUUGUGUCUUCU